rnacentral:rRNA from 1 species
GCGAGCGGAACCACAGAUUUACUUCGGUAAUGACGUUGGGAAAGCGAGCGGCGGAUGGGUGAGUAACACGUGGGGAACCUGCCCCUAAGUCUGGGAUACCAUUUGGAAACAGGUGCUAAUACCGGAUAAUAAAGCAGAUCGCAUGAUCAGCUUUUGAAAGGCGGCGUAAGCUGUCGCUAAGGGAUGGCCCCGCGGUGCAUUAGCUAGUUGGUAAGGUAACGGCUUACCAAGGCGACGAUGCAUAGCCGAGUUGAGAGACUGAUCGGCCACAUUGGGACUGAGACACGGCCCAAACUCCUACGGGAGGCAGCAGUAGGGAAUCUUCCACAAUGGACGCAAGUCUGAUGGAGCAACGCCGCGUGAGUGAAGAAGGUUUUCGGAUCGUAAAGCUCUGUUGUUGGUGAAGAAGGAUAGAGGUAGUAACUGGCCUUUAUUUGACGGUAAUCAACCAGAAAGUCACGGCUAACUACGUGCCAGCAGCCGCGGUAAUACGUAGGUGGCAAGCGUUGUCCGGAUUUAUUGGGCGUAAAGCGAGCGCAGGCGGAAAAAUAAGUCUAAUGUGAAAGCCCUCGGCUUAACCGAGGAACUGCAUCGGAAACUGUUUUUCUUGAGUGCAGAAGAGGAGAGUGGAACUCCAUGUGUAGCGGUGGAAUGCGUAGAUAUAUGGAAGAACACCAGUGGCGAAGGCGGCUCUCUGGUCUGCAACUGACGCUGAGGCUCGAAAGCAUGGGUAGCGAACAGGAUUAGAUACCCUGGUAGUCCAUGCCGUAAACGAUGAGUGCUAAGUGUUGGGAGGUU